GCCCUGAUUGCCUUUCCGAAAUGCAGCACUUCGCAUUUAUCUAAAUUAAACUCUAUCUGCCUUUCCUUGGACAAUUGUCCCAUGUGAUCAAGAAAUUGAAAAGUAAAAGUAAAUUGCUGUUUCACCAGGAUGGAAUGGAUCAUUGAAAAUGAGGAAGUUCAAGGUUUUGCAUGUCAUAUGCUUGCAUAAAAAUAAAUCUUUGUUCCCUUAAGUGAAAACUGAAAGGCUGAGCUCGCUCCUUUGGGAGUCAACACUGUCUAUAUUGGAAGUUCUCCCAAAUAUCACCUUGGAUCUCCAUUUUCACAAGACGCAGAAGAUUGAAGUAAAAACAAAUAUUGGAUUUCAAAUUCAUGAAAACAGUAAAACAAAUUGUAUAACUUUUUAUUAAUGGCCUUUCUCCAUCUAUUUCUGCUGAACCCUUUUUUUUAGUGCUGACAGGAUACUUGACAAUAGUUUGAAAAUUUAAAUUUCCCACAACAUUCUUUUUCCUUCCUGUUUAUAUUUUUGCUGCAUGUUGAAUCCAGAGCGAAGAUGAAGAAACGGAUUGCGAAAUGAAUGACUCAGAUUAAUUUGAAAUAAAAUGUACUGAUUCUGCAAGAACGAGGAUCACGGAUGUGAUGUCAGUUCUGUAUUGACCUAUCAAGAAAUUUUAAGUUAUUUUACUUUCUGGAGAAAUGCAAGAGGGAGCAGCCAGAACAUUUCCUGCAAAACCUUUGAUCCUUGAUCUCCCUCUCUGCCUCCACUGUACAAAGACUGAGUUUUCGUACUGACAGUGAACAUUUCAAAAGUUUAGAGACCUUAAUGCAUCAUAAAGACAUCUGUAUAUCGAAGCAUGUCUAGCUAGGGGCAGCAGUAUCACUUCAGCGAUGGAGUACAACUGGUCAACAGCCUACUUUGGCAAUGUUUUGUUCCUUGGAUUAAACCAAUAAAUGCCUAUUUGUAAAAUAAUUAGGUUAAAAUAAUAUUUUGCAAAAAAGCCUGGAACUUGAACUGAGUAUAAAGCUGAGGUAACAGGUUUAUUGAUUAUGAAGUAAAGGCUGUGUCAUAUUCAACAGAUGCGCUUCCACAUGACUCUGAUUAAGCUAAUUCCUUCAAAAAUGUAUGUAGGCUGCAAGAGGAAGCACACAGUGGCUGGGUAAUCACCUCUCACUGUACUUCAAAAUCAGCUGCUUCAGUUUGCUAGAUGUUCUGUGGAUGCUGGAGAUGGACCCAAGCAGUUCCAACUGGCGUUUCAUGUUUUAUUAAGUAAGAUAGCCAUCAGUGUCUACUGAAAGCAGUUUAUCUUGAAGAUCAUAGGGAAAAUGUACAAGGAACUGCCAAAUUCUGACAGAAUAUUUUUAAAAGGUCGCAUGGUGUAAUGCUUUUUAUUUUAAUAAUUGCUUUUUUCAACACUUGAGAAGUGGUUUGUACACUUUUGGAUUCUCUCUCUCUAUCACACACUCGCACACACACAUAUAUUUUUAGGGUUUUUGUGUACGAUUAAAGACCUAUAAUUCAAGCUGUUAAAUCUUUCCAGUAUGUUUUAAAUGUUUAUAUAUCUAUAAAAAAAACUUGCUGAAGCCAAUGCUUGGAUUUGUUGCAAUUCUGGCUGUUUUCAGAACAACAUUUCAAUUGAUUGUACCUAAGUACAAGCAUUACAAGCAGUUCAUAGUAAGUAAGGACAUAUAGAUCAUAGGGUGAAAAGAACUUGGACAGAGUGAGGCUUGCGGGUUACACUGCCCAGGAUAUAUGCGAGGCAAGAACAACAUUAACAAGAUCAACAUUAUUUGAAGUUAGAGAGUCCAAUUCAUCAGUCUAAUAACGGCAGGGAAGAAGCUGUUCUUGAACCUGUUGGUGCUGUGUUCAAGCUUCUAUAUGUUCUGCCUGACAGCAUUUCUCAUUGUUGUAACUACUGAUAUCUAUUGCGCUUUUUAGUGUGUUUCACCCUUUCUUCAGGGACAUUGUCCGUUAUUGGCCAUUUAAACAAAAAUCACCUUAGUGAAACAAUUUAGCCGGAAAACCAUUUAAAUUGAGCUGUUUGUGCUGAAUAUGGCACUCCUUUUCCCAAUUCAGUAGGAGAGUUUAAGGGUUCUAAAUCUCUCUCCCUUCAUAACGGUCAAUUUUUCUGUUUCAUUUGGUGUUUUAAUCAGACAUGGAAAAUGUCUAUGGUGUCAGUUAGUACCCAUACCCUCUGGAAAACCUUAAUGCUUAACAUGGCCUCCACUAGGGUGACAAUAUAGACCUUGCAAGUAAUUUCCACAUUCCUGAAUAAUUGAUGUAGGCUCAGUCAAAAUUUUCGCUUUGAUGCACUAUCCAUUCACCCCAGCUGGAAUGUACAUGAAUGGGCAAUAGAAGUGAGAACAGGUUCGGUUUACGCUGUAGCCACAUUUAUUGUGAACGAGUCUCUUUUAACAAUCCACCUGUAAACUUAGAAAAUAAAAUUAGACACCUGGGUGUCAGUGAUGGGUAUCUGUAGAGUUGAGCAAACAAAAUAACAGCCAAGUGCCACUGCUUUAUACCUGUGUGAGCUGAACAAACAACAUUUAUAUGUUCAGCCCCACACAGGAUUUCCCAUGUUUAUACAGAUCUGCACACUAGUUCUGCUCUUGUGUACAUUGCGCAACAUACUGUUCACUUUGUGUAUAUCCAGUCUUUCACACCAUUUCACUUUGUUUAUACAGUCCACGAGCUGCUUUCCCCUUGUUUACGCAGUCCACAAGCUGCUUUCCCUUGUGGUUAUGUAGUCCACGCAUCGCUUUCCCUUAUGUUUACACAGUCCACACGCCGCUUUCCCUUGCGUUUGCGCAGUCCACACGCCGCUUUCCCUUGUGUUUGCGCAGUCCAUGCAAUUUUUGCUUGUACUUAGUCUGCUGUUAAAACCAAAAGAUUCGGGAUAUUAAACAUAUUUAAAAUUAUAUUGAACAGAACAAGGUCGAAAACUGACUUUAUUCCAGUGUUCAUAUAAGAUUGCAUGUGGGAGAUUUAGAACAAAUAUCAAGAGAAACUUCUGAGUUGAGACUGUAAAAGUCACUUUCAGGAUUAGUGGUCAGUGUAGAAACUGUCAAUAUAUCAGAAUAACUAAGAUUGAGAGAUGGAACAGAAAGGGAGGAGGAAUAUAGAUAAAGGUGGAUAAAUGUGUUUACUUCCACAAAAAGUGUUAAAACACUGAUAUGUGUUUGUUGAAUUGAACGGUCUGUUUCUGUGUUGUAACUUUAAUGUAUUUCUGUACAUUUGUAGUUGGUGUAUAAAUGGUUAAACGCAUUGUUCUGAUUUGUUUAUAGUAGGAGAAAGGAAUUUAAUAAUAGUGAAUUUACACCUUCUAGACUUUCCUUUGAUUAGUCUCUAACUGACCCAUACAACUGUCCCAGGUUUGCUACCUGAACUGUGCAAACAAAGCGAAUCUGAGCCAGAAAGCCAAAUUAGCCCCAGCACCUGAACUAAAAAAAAACUAAUGUAUUUCUUGGAGUUUCUGUUUGCCUCUGUCAAAAGGUCUGCAAAUAUUUGUGGAUGACGACUGGCAAUUGGGAUGAGGUAUUUGUCUGAUACCUUUGAAAUUGCACAUCAGCAUACGCUACUACCAUCAAUACAUUAGGAACAGAAAAAUUGCAUUUUACUGGUCCACUUCAGGUCAAGGCUAUGAACAGCACAGUGUAUGAUCACUAAGUAGUCCAAGAUUAGAUGCAAUGAGAGAGAAUCUUUUAAGGUUCAUGCCUAUGUUCUAGGGGUGUCUGGUCCUUAUGACAAUUAAUAAAAUCAGUUAAUUUUGGGAAUUUAUUCCGGACACAUUUAUCAAAACAUACUAAUUUGGAUUCCUAAGAGAGAGCUUUGGGAAGUGUUGUCAAUUAAGCUGUGGUUUUCUGAUCAUUCUUCCAAACCUAUUCAAUUUUUGUUGUGAUAAAUCUGCAAAAGCUGAAAGCUUUUUUUUUGUAUAUUGUUGCAUUGGUUGAACACAAUAAAAGCCAGUCCCUCACUGACUGCAAUGAUCUUA